UACAGAGGUCUCAAGCGUUGUUCGGAUUCAUUGGGCGUAAAGGGUGCGUAGGCGGCGCGGUAAGUCGGGUGUGAAAUCUUGGAGCUUAACUCCCGAAACUGCAUUCGAUACUGCCGUGCUUGAGGACUGGAGAGGAGACUGGAAUUUACGGUGUAGCGGUGAAAUGCGUAGAUAUCGUAAGGAAGACCAGUGGCGAAGGCGGGUCUCUGGAC
rnacentral:rRNA from 1 species